CCUACGGGAGGCAGCAGUGGGGAAUAUUGCGCAAUGGGGGGAACCCUGACGCAGCAACGCCGCGUGCGGGAUGAAGUCCUUCGUUAUGUAAACCGCUUUCAGCAGGGAAGAGACAGACGGUACCUGCAGAAGAAGCCCCGGCUAACUACGUGCCAGCAGCCGCGGUAAUACGUAGGGGGCGAGCGUUAUCCGGAUUCAUGGGGUGUAAAGCGCGCGAAGGCGGACUGUAAAGCGGGACCUCAAAUCCUGGGGCGCAACCCCCGGCCGGGUCCCGAACUGGCGGUCUGGAGUGCGGUAGGGGAGGUCGGAAGUCCCGGUGUAGCGGUGGAAUGCGCAGAUAUCGGGAAGAACACCGAUGGCGAAGGCAGACCUCUGGGCCGACACUGACGCUGAGGCGCGAAAGCUAGGGGAGCGAACAGGAUUAGAUACCCGAGUAGUC
rnacentral:rRNA from 1 species